rnacentral:rRNA from 1 species
GAUGAACGCUGGCGGCGUGCCUAACACAUGCAAGUCGAGCGGAGUUAUGAGAGGUGCUUGCACCACUUUUAACUUAGCGGCGGACGGGUGAGUAACACGUGAGUAACCUGCCCUCGAGUGGGGAACAACAUCGAGAAAUCGGUGCUAAUACCGCAUAAUAUCUCUUUGCCGCAUGACAGAGAGAUCAAAGGAUUUAUUCGCUUGAGGAUGGACUCGCGUCCGAUUAGUUAGUUGGUGAGGUAACGGCCCACCAAGACAUCGAUCGGUAGCCGAACUGAGAGGUUGAUCGGCCACAUUGGGACUGAGACACGGCCCAGACUCCUACGGGAGGCAGCAGUGGGGAAUAUUGGGCAAUGGGCGAAAGCCUGACCCAGCAACGCCGCGUGAAGGAUGAAGGUCUUCGGAUUGUAAACUUCUUUGAUCAGGGACGAAACAAAUGAC